GUUGUUGUGGCCGAGUGGUUAAGGCGAUGAACUAGAAAUCUUUUGGGAUCUUCCCGCGCAGGUUCGAAUCCUGCAGACAUCG
rnacentral:tRNA from 1 species